UUGACUGAUGUGGUACAUGUACAGCUCUAGCUUUGCAUAUCAUGGCAUCUUCCAUUCGCUCUAGAAAGCACAAGAUAGGGGGAGUGAGGAGAAAAUCAAAAAAGUAAUUACACAUAUAUGCAUAUGCUAUCAAAAAAUUUAUCUUUCCAUUUUCAUUUUACAUUGAGGCCAUGUAGGCCUGGUUGUAGGAGGAGUCCAUCUCGUGGACGACGAGGCUGGUUGCGGUGACCUGGGCGCCGGUGGCGUUGUUGAAGAGGUAAACACCGGCGUUUGCAUAAAUCGCCUCGGUCGGGUACACCCGCGACGUCACUGUUGACCUCCCGUCCAUCGCAAAGCUCUCCACGAUGGAGUGGUCCACCAGCACCCUCACUGACAGGUCCUCACCGGAGAGAACCGGCACAGUGUUGCCAACGACCCUCUUGACAAUGUCAUAGGCGCGAGACGAGCGCGUCUCGUCAUGGCAAAAGUGUGUGCGCAGGCCUCCAUCGAGGCCCCUCGAAACAUAGAAAUAGACGGCGGUCCGCUCUGCGUCCCCACCAUGGUGCCUGGCAUCGGCGAGCACGAGGAAGCCGAAGGGUCCGAGGGCGCCCCGGCCCGCCGCCCCGCCACUAGUGCUACAAUUGUAGCCGAUGUCGGCCUCAUUGGCGGCGGCGAGAUCCAGCGAGUCGAUGUGAAAUGAGGCCUGAAUGUCGAGUUGGGUUGCACGGUGAAGGCUGAGCGGGAAGACCGAGCCGUGGUCGAUGGUGACCUGGCCGAGGUCGGUGGAGUUGGUCCGGAGCGUCUCCACCUCCUGUACCGGCCACUGCAGAAGGUUGCUUCCUGUCUUGGUGUCCAGCACCACCGUCCGAGGGAUUGACUGCAACAUUAGCAACAUACUAAGAUUAAUUAACAAUAAUUGAUAACUAUUCAGCAAAGUAUCCUAGGUAUCAAUCAUUGACAACAAAGAAAAUAAUCCUAGGUAGUAUCAUUCAACGUCUGAGCGGAAAGAAUUGCUAACUAACAGUGUGGUAAGCAGACAAGACAACCCUUUUUCUUGUCUAAUCACAAUUUGGUUGGUAGUAGCAGAAAUUAUUUAGUAUUUAGUUUGUUGUUAGUACCAAAUUGCCAACCUUGGCCUGCCACUAGACCACAUGCUACCACAUGAUUGAUUCAAGGGGUAUGCAGAGUUUGUUUGUGGGACAUAACCUUUUUCUUGUAUGUAAAGUAUAAACCAAGUUUGGUUCGUGCUAAAAGAAAUUGUAUCAACAAACUGGCAACAGAUUACCAAUCUUGGUAUCCCAACAGUAGCUGCAACUAGUUUGAGCUGUAUGCAAGCUCAAGGAAGCUAAGAGACACUUGACAACGAGAUGACAGCAACAUUGCUUUAGCUGCUAUAUAUGAUGCUGUCUAUCCAUGAUUCAUCCCAAGUGGCUGCUAUUAUUAUUUGCAUGCAUUGACCAUGGCCCACCGGGCCAUGCCAUCAUGCCGAGGUGUCUAUGGAACCAAACCAAAAGUGUUUGCAACGCUCCUAACCAUGCAAAUUAAAUUCACAAAAGCAACAUUUUCUUAAGAAUCAACUAAUGGAGGUUAAUCAACCAAUUGAUUUCACCAUGUUUGCACAACAAGAAGAUGUUGACCCCCACAAAAAAACAACAACAACAAGAUGUUGAAAGUGGCAAGUACCUGGAGGGAGGCCCAUCCCUUGGCGACGUCGGCGCGCUCGGAGUCGGUUUCACCGACCCACCCCCAGAGCACACGCCGCUUCUUUGCCGGAUCGUAGAAGGUUUUGGACGCGUAGAACUUUCCCCAGUCAUACCUCAGCCCGACGCCAACAUCGGCGUCGGUGUCCAAUGGGGUCCAGAUGUUCUUUGCCGCAUCGUAUCGCCCGAGCGCAUAGUAGUCGUGCCGGUCAUCGUCCGAGCUCUCCUUCAUCACAUGCAAAACAUCGUCGCCCCCAUUUGUGUACGCGGCCUCCACCGCGUCCGUCAUAUCGAUGCCCCUUGCACCGCCGACCGGGUAUAAGUCGAUGCACUCCCACAUCCCCGUCCCCGGUACACGGUGAAGCAACCCGGGGACAAGCUCAUAGUCGAUGAAAUCCUUGGUCUUGUAGGUCAUCACCAUGCCAGCAUGGCGGUCAUCCUUGGAGCCGAUAACGAGCCGCCAUGUGUCAUCGGAACCGUCGAACCACGCAGUGGUCGGGUCCCGGAAGUCCUUCUCCCCGACGCCCGGUGGCGGGUACAUCACCGGAUUGUUCUCAUACUUGGUCCAGUUGAUUAGUAAGGGAUCAGAGGGGUCACUAGGGAAGGCAAGGCACUGGACCUGGACAGAGGCGUUGGUGGAGCCGGUGUAGAGCAUGACGAUGCGGCCAUCGGGAAGGACAGUGGCGGAGCCCGACCAAACGCCGUUCAUGUCAUACCACUGGUCGGGGGACAUUGCGACGGGCAGGUGGCGCCAAUGGAGAAGGUCGCGAGAGGCGGCAUGACCCCACGCAAUCUUGUUGCCCCAAAUGGCGCCAUCUGGGUUGUACUGGUAGAAGAGGUGGUACCACCCCUUGUAGUACACUGGACCUGAAUUUGAAUUCUCAAAGAAAUGAGUUUCUGAUGGAAUCUCUAACAAGAAUAAGAAACUUAGAGCAAUGCCAUCAUUUGUAUUAGUGCAACAAAAGAGGAGAUGCGUACCGUUGGGGUCGUUCAUCCAGUUCUUCUCGGGCUGGAAGUGGAAGCCGGUGCGCUGCCACUGGAGCAUGGCAUUGCUCCACGGGAACGCGUUGCCACCGGCGUCCGCCCCAAGCAUGCCGCCGUGGGCGCUGGCGCCGGACGUCUUCUCCGAGACGCCGGACUCAGGGCCCCGGCUGCUGGUGCUCAUCGGCGCAGCGUCGACCUCGGUCGGGUGGCCGGACAUGACGAUGCCCGAGGCGGGCAGCUCGCUGGCGAGCCUGACCCCGGCGAGCGCGGCGACAGCAAGGAGCACCGCGGCCAAAGUCAGGAGCACUGCGGCGCACACCGGCCCGGUCCGGCCUGGGCGCGCGCGCCCGGCCUGGGCCUCGUCAUCGUCCAGCGGCAGCUGCGCGUAGGAGCAUGGCACCAGCGCCGGCAUCGAGCCGCGGUCUCUGGUCUCCAUUGACAUGGAAAAGAGACGGAGGAGACAAAGGAUGCCUCGAUCUCCGCAGAAUCCAAAGGAGGGAGAGGAAUUGGUGGGACUGAUCAAUUAUCGCCUCUGCUAAACUUAACAAGAACGAGGAGAAUGUGUGUGCCUGUGCGUGUUUGCCGAGGAGCUCCGCGGGUGCCAUUUAUAGUCGCCACCUUACUGCCUCAACGGCGCACCUGGCGCGGCCCCAUUGGCUGGCGGCGGCCGCGGCGCGGCGGGGCUGGAUUGUCAGUGCUAAUCAUCAUCCAUCCAGGCCAUGUUAUCCAGCUCGAUUAUGAUUACGCCCUGUCGCACUCACUGAUUGUUCUCUCAGAACCAACUACUCGUUGGCUCAGGCUGGAUACGUGUUUGUGCAUGUUCAGAUCCUUCCAUGCAUGUAUGAUUGAGUUAGGUUAGUUGUUAAUUAGCGAAAGACACGCUUAUUGUGUGAUACUAUGGUUAGCUAGCAUUGUUAGAGCAUCUCUAGUCUAUCUGCAAAGUUAGUUACCAAGAACCUAUAUACAAAACAUUUUUGGUGGGUGAAACUUCCGAUCUACUCCCUUCAUCCGAAAAAACUUGUCCCUUAAAUAGAUGUACCUAGCACCAAGUUAGUGCUAGAUACAUCCAUUUGAGGAGCAAGCUUGGGACAAGUUUUUUCGGACGGAGGGAGUAUUCGUAAUCAAGCAUGACAGAACACUAGAUAUAAUAAAAAUUACAACCAGGUCUAUCAAGCAACUAACAACGACUACAAGUACUAAAUCAAGGUGAAGGUGCGCCACGCUCUUCGCCCCUCCCUUACCGGAAUGGGCAGACCUUUUUGUAGUAGACAGUCAGGAAGCCAUCCCAAAAUUAACUUUUCAACAUAUUUUUUGCUAAUUCACAACUCAUUUUACAAUGAAAUUAUUAUUAUUAUUAUUUUCACAAUAUUACAUAAAACCGGAAAAUAGAACAUUUUGGAAUCUAUUUUUCAUUUCGUCUAACACAUGGCGUUCCUCGCGAGCCGGAGUGUCUGGUGGCCUGUGGGAGCUCGCUCCAGACACCGCGGUGGCCGGACGGGGAGCGUGCACGGAGCAAGAGAUGUGUCAUGGCCCAAUAGCCGGCCUCGGCGACGACCAAGGCUGCCUCUCCGCUCUGGAUUAAAGUGGUGGCCGACGAUCAAUUCUUUUGGUUUGUGUCUUAAAACCUUUUGGGUGUUAAACAUUGUCACGUUACAAGUCUGUACCGCAGCCUUGUACCUCAAGAUAUUGGAGUAGUUAGGAAGAUCCUUUUAUCUUUAUCUCUUGAUGUAAUCUUCCCUUAUCUCUCCAUGUAUCUCUCAACCGUAUAUGUAUGCCUCAUGCGAGAUCGGGCCUUGCCAAUAUCAAUAUAUACAUGCGGGCUCCUGUGUAUAGGAGUUGAGACGCUUCGAUCUAUUAUCUCACAUGGUAUUAGAGCUACCCUCUUCCCCUUCGUCUAGCUAUCCCUCCCAUCCUUCCCUUCCACCUCCAAACUCGACUAUGUCGACAUCCACCGCGGUAGUCUCCUCUGGCCUCAACAACAAUGUCUCCGAACCCCUCACACGAUCCAACUAUGUUCUCUGGCGCGCUCAAGCUCGCUCCCAGAUCAUGGGGGCCGGCCUCUUUGGGUACGUCGACAAAACCCUAGAACAACUAUCCAAAACCAUCACCAGCAAGAAUGCGGAGGGCAAAGAUCAGGUGGCUGUGAGCCCUGCUUAUGCGCCUUGGCUCAUCCAAGAUUAGCAAAUAGUUGCCUAUCUUCUUCGCAAUCUCUCCAAAGAAGUCCUAGUGCAAGUCGCAUCUCUUGAAACCUCCCAUGCCAUCUAGUCCGCCCUCGCCAACAUGUUCUCUGCCCAAUCCCGCUCCCGCUGCAACCACAUCCGCAUCGCACUCACCACCGCCCAGAAGGGAACCCAGUCGGCUGCUGCAUACUUCGGCUAUAUGCGGGGUCUUGCCGAUGAGAUCGCAGCAGCAGGGAAACCGAUAGAUGAGGACGAGCUCCUCUCCCACAUCAUCUCCGGGCUUGACAUGGAGUACCAGCCCAUCAUCAGCGCCUUGGACGUGCGACCUGAGCCGACCACGGUCGACGAGCUCUUCAGCAUGGUAUCCACCUUUGACCAGUGAGUCGAGAUGUUCCAGGGCACAGGCGGCCAAGCUUUCAAGUCUUCGGCAAUGCCGUUUCUCGCGGUCGGGGUGGCUCCUCCAAAGGCUACCGUGGCGGUGGCGGCGGCCCUCGUCGCGGAGGACAUGAUGGCAGCGGUGGUGGUGGCCACUACGGUAGUGGUGGCGGCGGCCACUACUCCAACCCCCACGGUGGUGGUAGCGGCGGCCACUAUAGAGAUGGUGGCAGCAACCAUGGCGGUGGCUAUGGCGGCCACUACUCCAACUCCGGCGGCAGUGGAGGAAACAACUACAACACCAACGCCGGUCGCCCCUUCUACAACAACAACAGGGGAGGCCAAAACAACUACAACAACAAUUUCAGAGGGUAUGAUGAAUAUGAAGGAAAAUGUCAGAUUUGCAAGAAAACUAAUCAUAUUGCAAAAGAAUGCAAGUGGCGCUAUGCAGAUGAUAACUCCCAGAAGAAAAAGGUUGCCGCAGCAGCCAACAAGUCAUAUGGUGUAGAUACCAACUGCUAUGUGGACUCUCGUGCAACCGACCACAUCACCCAUGAGUUGGAAAAAGUCACCAUGCAUGAAAGAUAUCAUGGACAUGAUCAAGUCCACAAUGCGAUGGUACAGGUAUGGAGAUAAGCAACAUUGGCCAUUCAAUUAUUCAUUCCCGACAUAGAGAUAUUCAUCUAAAUAAUAUUCAUCACUGUCCUAGUUCAUCCAAAAAUCUCCUUUCCGUUCAUCGCAUUGCUCUUGAUAAUCAUGUCUUUCUAGAAUUUCACCCAUUCUUCUUUUUGAUCAAGGAUCAGGUCACGAGGCAGGUUCUCUACCGAGGUAGAUGUGUGGAUGGACUUUACCUGUUGAUUCCCCAAGUUUGCAGAUUCAAUAAACAAGUGUGUAGUGCCAUUAGACUCUCACUUGAGCGAUGGCAUGCUCGUUUAGGCCAUCUCUCUUUCUCUAUUGUUAAGCAAGUUCUUAGCAAAAAUAAACUCUCAUUUGUUGGAGAGCACAAUCCUGAAACAGUGUGUGAUUCUUGUCAAAAAUCAAAAAGUCAUCAGUUGUCAUACCCUAUAUCAACUAGUGUUUCUACCAAACCACUACAACUUAUAUUUUCUGAUGUAUGGGGGCCUGCUCCUCUUUCUGUUGGUAGACAUGCUUAUUAUGUUAGCUUCAUUGAUGAUUUUAGAAAAUAUACAUGGAUAUAUCUCCUCAAAAAACGAUCUGAUGUCUUUCAAGUCUUUCUCAAUUUUCAAGCUCUUGUUGAAAGACAGUUUGAUAGUAAAAUCCUUGCUGUUCAAUCCGACUGGGGGAGGGGGGUGAAUAUGAAAAGUUAAAUUCCUUCUUUCAGAAAUUGGGAAUAUCUCAUCAUGUUUCUUGCCCACACGCACACCAGCAAAACGGCUCUGCCGAGCGUAAACAUAGACACAUAGUUGAGGUAGAUCUUGCUUUGCUUGUUGCUGCAUCUAUGCCACUGGAAUUUUGGGACGAAGCAUUUCUUACUGCUGUGCAUCUCAUAAACAUCUUGCCAAGUCGUGUCAUCAAAUAUGACACUCCCACUGAACGGCUUUUGCAUGCUAAACCGAACUAUACUCCACUUCGUGUGUUUGGCUGUGCAUGUUGGCCUAAUCUUCGUCCUUAAAACAAUCGAAAACUUAUGUUUCGUUCCAAGCAAUGCGUAUUUCUUGGCUAUAGUGCACAACACAAAGGAGUUAAAUGUCUAGAUAUUCCCACUGGACGCGUCCACAUCUCUCGUGGCGUUGUCUUUGAUGAAACACAAUUCCCUUUUGCCAAACUCCACCCCAACGCCGGUGCACUCCUCUGAAAAGAAAUCCUUAUGUUUCCUCCACAUCUCUCUGGUAUUGAUAGUGGGGAAGAAAAUAAUUGUUUUGGUCCAUUAUUGCCUAACUCUCCUAAGGUUUGCACAAUUGUACUGUUUCAAAAAUAUCAGCUGCAGAAAAUGGUGCAAACACUGUUGAAAACAGGUUGGAAAAUACUGCUACAGUGCAAGAUUUCAUGUGCACACACUUCCACUACAAGAAAUAUGUCAACUAGUGACCUUCUGUCAGUGACUCUGGAAGAAUUGGUCAUAGAUCUAUGACCAUUUGAGACCAAUUGGUCAAAAGCUGUUCGGGGGGCUCCAAACCCUAUACUAUAACGACCAUUUUUGUCAAAAAGGUCGUAAUUUCCUUACACGAAAUGGUCAUAAAGCGGACAGCACUUAUCUGCUGCCUUAUUUCUAGUUGGUCAUGACCAAUAUAGAUGGUCAUAACCUUGUAAGUUGUGGUGGAUUGCUAUGACUAGGCGCCACCUCAUCAGUUUUGCCUAUGUGUCAUGUCCAUGUGUCAAUUUUUGCCCUAGGUUGUGAAGCAACCUAUAUUUCUGUUCGUCCCAAAAUUUCGAAAAAUUCUCAUAAAUUCUUUGGAUCAUAUCUUCGUCAAAUAUGUCAAAAACCUUCCGUGCCUAGUUAAAAUAUAGUUCAACAAUAUUCAUUUUCCUAUUCUGUUCAGAACAGCACUUUGUGAAGGAAGUGCUAUUUUUAUAUUCUUGAUUGCCCUCAAAAAAUUUGGGCACUCUUUCCUAUCCAAACCAUUGCCUCGUGACAAAAUUCAGCUCCAUUUGCCUAGUAAAUCUUCCUCGGCAAAUUUCCAAAGUUUUUGUCCACCUAGAAGCAUUGUGAAGGAAGUACUAUCUAUGCACAUCCAAAUGGCGUGAAAUUUAUACAGUGCCUUCAUAUGCACAAAUUAUCACCCUCCUCCAAAUUGCAGCUCAAUCAAAUCAUCUAUGUGAGCCCAGCUUCAAUUUUUAUUUUCUGUCCAGAUUGGCACAUUGCAAAGCAAGUGCCAUCUAAACUCCUCCAUUUGAGCUGAAAAUUUGCCAAGACAGUCUCCCUAGUAUAUGAUCAUCCUCAGCCAAAACUCAGGCCCAUUGGCCUUGUGAAUUUCCCGUACCGCUAAUCAAACACUUGGGUACUAAUUCAUGUUUGAGCAUAGUUCGGUCUCCUCGUGAGAUUCUUCUAUUGUUAUUUUCUUCCAAGCAUCUACCUGGGGAGUACCAAACCUACUAGACAUGCCUAGGCUUCCCAGAAUGCAUGUCAACGCCACGGUCACGCGGCGGGCAUGCGAGUCUACGCGCUUUGGAGUUGGGGCCCUAGGCCACCAUCCAAACCUCAACGUAUCACCACCAAACCAUGUAUUUAUGCUUAAAUAGAUAGUUAUGUACCUAGAAAUGAUUUUUGGAAAAAUAAAGAGCAAACUAUAAGGCAGCUACAGUUCAAAUUUGACCCGCUUCCUACUGAAUCGGCAGAAAUUUGUCUUUUUCACCAGAGGUGGAUAAAAAACUUUUUACACCCAACCAUUUUGUCAAUUGUGCAUUAAACAUGGCCUAGUAUUUUAUAAAAUUGAUUUGGUCCAUUUUUGCAACAAUUAUUUGGUAGUUCCUUCACAAAAAAACCCUCUCACCCACCCACCGCGAGCUACCCUAAAAAAACAAACAAACCCACCGCGCAGCGAACCCUAGCCCCGGCACACCACUCCUCCUCCCUUCCAGAUCACCUCCGCCACCUCCUCCUUUCCAGAUCGCCGCCUCCACCUCCCUCCGGCCGAGCUCCCCGCCAUCCAUGGCCUCCCCCACGCCCUCCUCCUCUCUCCCAUCCCCUUCCCUCACUGCGAGCCCUUCUCCCCCGCGAGCCCUCUCUCUCUCCCUCCCGCGACUCCUCUGCUCCACCCGAUUCCGGCGAGUUGAGGCGGCUCUCGCCGGCGCGCAGCUCUUUCUUCCCCUCCCGUCAGAUUCAUCUCUCGUACCCUCUAGUGCAAGCCCGCAACCUCACCCGUGGCUAGGGAUUCGCCCCAUGUCCAUUUUUCUAGAGGACGGGCAUGGCGCGCGCGGGCCAUGCGCCGGCGACGAGGGCGCCGGAUCCAGGGGCAGGGCCCCCUUCUCCUCAUGCUGCAUCCGUCGGCCUCCUCCUACUCGAGGAGGAGGAGCAGGAGCAGGUGGGGCGCACCUAGCCCCCAAGUUCGCCGCCGUCGAGGGCUUCUACGACCUGGAUCCCGACCUCCAUGGCGCCGUCUUCCAGCAACUCGAGGUCAAGGUGCUCUCCCUUCUCUGUUUGAUUCGAUCCGGCAGCCGUGGAUGUGGAUGUGGGUUCCUCACGCCUCUCAGUCUGCCCUGUUCGUGAUGUGCUGCAGGUCAAGUCCACUCACGCGAUGUGCCCGUCCAUGGAGAGGAGCAGCAGCAACUCAAGGUCGAUUUUUCCCUCCACUCCUCUCUCGUUUUGAAAUCCUAGGCUGGGUUGGGUUACCUCAUGUGCUUACAUGCUUCCCUGUUUGCUUGCUUGUUGCUGCUCUUACUCAUGGCCGUCCAGAUUAGCUAGCGUGCUUAGGCAACCUAUGGUGGUCACUAUUUUUCUCAUGUGAUUCAACUCUACAAAUACUCUGCCUGUUUAAAAUCUGAAACAAAUUGCUUGGUUUGCUGCUGGUCUGAAUCCACUCACAUGCUUGACAGAACAACUUGCUGCUAUUGCUGUCACACCCUAGUGAAAUGAUCAUGUAGGAAGUAGGUACCAUAAAUAUAUGAAAGGCUACAAUCCUUGAGAGAACCUGGCUCUACUUUUGCAAAUGUUUAGUUUACUCAUGAUAUGGUUUCUGUAGCUAUGUGACGCCACAUUAAACAUCUGUUUGAUGUAAAUAGUGAUCUCAGUUUCCAUACUGAAGGUAGGAUUUCUGUGUUAAACCUAGGCCUGUUGUUCUUUGUUUAUCUCCAUUGAUUCCCAGAUAGCUAGUUAUCUGUCUGACUCCAUUUCCUGUCAAAAUAUGUUUUUCCACCAAUACUUUUUGCACAAUACUUCAUGUAUCAAGUUUUGAUAUAAAUCUGUCAUGCAGGUGUAUGGAAGCACGAGAAGAGUGAUGGCCAUGAAGACUAUGGUCUCCUUGUUAGCGAGCCAGCCAGGAUAUAUGCCAUAGUCAAAGAGCUUGAUAGUCCUGUUACUUUGAAGGAUGGGACUGUUGUCCUGCAAUUUGAAGUGAGGCUUCAGAAUGGCCAUACUGUGAUUGGCUUACUCUUCAUGUCUUAAUUUGUUUCUAUGCUUAGUGUAGCUGUAUUAGACGGUUGCUUGUGUAACUGUAUUCCCGAUCUGAACUCUAUGGUUUUGUGGCAGUCAUGUCUGCACCACAUAAGCCUAGCUCUUUUAGUUCCAUGAUCAACUUGUCUAUGCAGUCCAAGCCUUCUAAACUGUGAUUGGCUCACUGUCCAUGUCUUGAUGUGAUUCUGUGCUUAAAACGGUUUGCUAGUUAGGCUAAUAUCGAUCUAAACUUUGUGUUUUUGUGUCCAAUAGUUCUGCACUGCAUGAGCUAAAUUCUGUUGUCCAUCAGCAUGGUUGACUUGUCAUUUAUGUGGACGUUUGUUAUUAAUGUGAUUAGUAGUGUAUGUAAUGCUAUAUGGAAGGCUGCACUGCUUAACCAGCUUGUUUAGAAUUGGGAUAUUUCUGUAUUAAUGAUUUUAUCAUUCUUGAACUCAGCUCGUUUCAGAUCUGUACUGUUAGCACUGGGAUAGAUCUGUGCUUCUUGUAGUAUAUAUGACCUUAAUUUAAAUAUGAGUGACGUCCGAGUCAUUUUAACUAUGAUUAGUAAUAGCACUUCUGAUUUGAUGGUGAAAUCAUUAAACUGAUACUGUGCUUUUGUUAACUCUAUAUUCUAAUGCUAUCAUAUGUAAGAAAUGAAUGGAUUUCAUCCUUACUGAUUGAUGCUCUCUUUCAAUUAAUAAUACAUGCAUGCCUUUAUGUUAUGUGUUCAUUGCCUGAUUUUAUAAUAGUUCUGGCCUCUUGCAAAUAAACAUUAUACCUAUUUGCACACUGCUGCCUUGGAACAAUAAUAAAAUAUGAAUAUGUGCUAUUUGCUGGCAGUCCUUCUCUUUCCAAUAUACAUAAAAGUUUAGAGACUAUCAAUCCGAAAAUAUGAAUAUGUAAAUUUUGUUCUCAUUUCUCAGUUUUCGCGCCUCUUGUUGAUGCAGGUGCACCUGAUUGUUAUUGAGGACAUGGUCUUGUUUUUGGCGCGCCCAAGUAUUGGGUGAUGCUUGCCUACAUGGUUACUGCAGCUCCAGUUCAGGUGGGCGCUCUAGCUCCUCCUCAUGCCCUACAUGCAGGUACACCCUUCCACCAGUACCUACUUGGACACACAAAAUAUUAGUAGAUACAAUUGACUUCUGCUUAUAUUAUGUUGCCAGCUUCAUCUGUUUUGAUCAUUAGAAUAUUGCCUUCACACUAUCUAAUUUCUGCGACUUCAUCUGUUUUGAUCAUUAGAAUAUUGCCUUCAUACUAUCUAAUUUCUGCAGUCAAGAUGCUCUUGACUAACCAGAAAUGUUCUUUUGAGUUCCAUACGUUGCGUAAAACAUUUCAAUCUGUCAUUGAGUUAGCUAUAUAAUUCUGUGAUACCAUUUCUGUACUGUGAUAGUUUCUCAUAUUUUUGUAUUAUACGUGUAUACAUUAUUCCUAUUUGAAGUCAUCAACUGAGAUGUUGCAAACAUUCCCGCCAUGUGCUGCUUCCUUUUUCAUGCUUUGCUACUAGAUCAUUUGCUUGAACUGAUAUUGUUGGUGUAUUUGUGCUUAUAAUUAUGCUUCUAUGUGGUUGUUGCAGCAUGACCCAACCAAAUAAACAUCUGUGCCGUGAUCAAGCUCUAAAAGUGUGGUGUUUCCUCUCUUUACAUGAGCUCAGGGCUGAAGAAAUUUGAAGAAGCUUAAAACUCGACAAAGUACAGAGUAGCUAGUUAUAAUGUGGUGCUAGUUAUGUUGUACAGUGGCCAGCAUAUCUGGUUGUAUAAACACUAUGUAAAUACUGUAAUUUCGUAUGAUGUACAGUAGUCAGCAUAUUUGGUGCUAAUUUUGGCUAUCAUUUUAAUAGUUUCAAGUGUGAGAAAUAGAAAGAUGACCAGUGGGACAAACGAAAAGGCCAAGGCCCAAAAAGUAGAUGGUCUGUAAAAAGGCCGAGGCCCAAAACAGAAAUGGACUAUAAAAGGGUUGAGGCCGAAAAAAAUGGUCUAUAUAAAAGGCAAUGGAACAGAAAUUUAAAAGGCCGAAUAGUUGGACCAGGCCCAUAUAGCUGACAAAAUUAAUAAGAAAAAAAUAUAUAAAAAGGCUGAAUUAUUGGGCUCGGCCCAUGUAAAACACCUAAUCGGACCGGGCUGAAUCUUGUCAGUGACCUUUUUAGUUGGUCGUAAUUUUGCCACGUCAGAUUGCCACGUCGGAUCCGACGUGGCCUGGGCAGACAGCCAGUGACCUUCUCUGUGAGAAGGUCGUUAAUUUCAGUUUACGACUGCCAGCUUUUGACCUUCUGUUUUUUAUCACAAAAAGGUCGCAAAUGAAAAACAAUGACCUUUCAGUGACCAAUAGUCAAGGUCACAAGUUGACAUAUUUCUUGUAGUGUUCCCAACUGCAUCCACCUCGGGAUGGUCAUCGCCAGACCCGCCAGGGGCCUCGGGAUCCACCCAGAUCCGCCCGUCAGAAGCACCCGCGGCUACAGCACGCCCUGCAGCGCGCCCCGCCCCGGGAUCUGUGCCUGUCCCUGGCUCCUCCUCGUUGACGGGUGGGCCUGCAUGUCGCUCACCGAACCCCGCGCCCUCCACCCGCGCGGACAUCACCAAUCAUCGCCCCGCCUCGGCCGACCGCGCGGGGCCCCGCACUGACGCUGCUUCCCCGGCCCACGCUGCCUCCUCGGGUUUGGAGCCCACGGCGGAGGCUGAUUCGCCAGCACCAUCUGACGCGUCCCCAGGCUCGGGAUCCGCGACGGCUGCAGAUCCUCUUGCAGCACCUGGUCGGGCGCCAGGAUCCUCUGCGGCUGCUUCUUCACCUCCACGUACACGUCUACAAAGGGGAGUCACAAACCGUAUAAACUACAAACAUAUUUCCAAGUAUGGUCUCACUUGUUUGACAGGAGAAGCUAGUGAACCCAAGACCCUGGCUGAUGCACUUGGGGAUGCACGCUGGAAACAUGCCAUGGAAGAAGAAAUUUCCGCGUUGCACCGUAACAAAACAUGGCAUCUUGUUCCUCGUCGUGCAGGUACAAAUUUAAUUGAGUGCAAAUGGGUUUAUAGGGUCAAACGAAAAUCAGAUGGUACUAUUGAUCGUUACAACGCACGUUUGGUUGCAAACGGAUUUAAGCAACGCUAUGGCAUUGACUAUGAGGAUACUUUCAGCCCUGUUGUCAAGGCUACAACUAUUCGUCUUGUGUUAUCUAUUGCUGUUUCCAGGGGAUGGAGUCUUCGACAGCUAGACAUUCAGAACGCGUUUCUUCAUGGUGUUCUGGAAGAGGAGGUGUACAUGAAACAACCUCCUGGGUUUGAGAAUAAAGAUGCACCCCUUCAUGUUUGUAAGCUUGACAAGGCUCUGUAUGGACUGAAACAGGCCCCCAGAGCUUGGUAUUCUCGGUUAAAUCUAAAACUGCAAGCACUCGGCUUUAUUCCCUCAAAGUCUGACACUUCUUUAUUCAUUUUCAACAAGUUUCACACCACCAUCUUUGUCCUCAUAUAUGUUGAUGACAUUAUUGUCACAAGUUCAUCUAGCUCAGCAAUCACAUCAUUGUUAAAUGAUCUUAGGUCAGAUUUUGCUCUUAAAGAUUUGGGUGAUUUGCACUACUUCUUAGGCAUUGAAGUAAUGAAAACUGAAUAUGGCAUUCACUAUCACAAGGCAAGUAUGUGACUGACCUAUUGCGUAGAAUUGGUAUGCAAGAUUGCAAGUCUUGCCCAACUCCUCUGUCCAGUUCGGAACCACUCUCUUUGACAGAAGGAGAACCCCUGAAUCAGGAGGACAGUAUAAGUUACAGGAGCAUUGUUGGUGCACUUCAGUACUUAACUCUGACCAGACCUAACAUUUCCUUUGCAGUUAACAAAGUAUGUCAGUUCUUGCAUGCCCCUACCACAGCUCACUGGACUGCAGCAAAACGUAUUUUGAGGUAUGUCAAUAAUACAAUGGGUUUUGGUCUAGCAAUCAACAAAUCAUCUUCCACUCGUGUUAGUGCUUUCUCUGAUGCGGACUGGGCUGAUUGCUUGGAGGACAGAAGGUCCACGGGGGGCUUUGCUAUUUUUCAUGGACCUAAUCUGAUUUCAUGGUGCGCAAAGAAGCAACCUACUGUUUCCAGAUCUAGCACUGAAGCAGAAUACAAGGCAUUGGCCAAUGCCACAGCUGAAGUUAUUUGGGUUCAGGCCAUAUUAAAAGAACUUGGAGUAAUGCACACUCAAACUCCUCUUCUUUGGUGUGAUAAUCUUGGAGCAACUUAUUUGUCUGCUAAUCCAGUGUUUCAUGCUAGAACCAAACACAUUGAAAUAGACUUUCAUUUUGUUAGAGAAAGAGUUGCAAACAAAGAACUUGAGAUCAGGUUUAUUCCCUCUAAAGAUCAGCUUGCAGAUGGGUUUACCAAGGCAUUACCUACUAGAAGCUUUGAAGUGUUUCGACGUAAUCUCAACUUAAUCCAGUUGUGAUUAUGGGGGCGUGUUAAACAUUGUCACGUUACAAGUCUGUACCGCAGCAUUGUACCUCAAGAUAUUGGAGUAGUUAGGAAGAUCCUUUUAUCUUUAUCUCUUGAUGUAAUCGUCCCUUAUCUCUCCAUGUAUCUCUCAACCGUAUAUGUAUGCCUCAUGCGAGAUCAGGCCUCGCCAAUAUCAAUAUAUACAUGCGGGCUCCUAUGUAUAGGAGUUGAGACGCUUCGAUCUAUUAUCUCAGAUUGGGGACUAAACAUUUUUUGGGGAAUGGAAUAGAGAUGCUCUUACCCGCAGAUUAAUUAGGUAAGGAGAAAAAUUUCACGACAUGGAACUAGUGCAAUUUGGCCGAGCUAACAAACAGCUAAUUUAGUUUCUGCAUUAGGCCGCCAUGUGCAUAGUUAUAGAUUCUAUUGAGAGCGAAAAAGGGCCCAAUAAUUCAGCGAGCCGAAACCGAUGGGCUACUCCUUCCGUGGGUUACACACUCUUUCACAUACGAAAGCCUCCUUUUCCGCAUCUCUAAAACAACGACGACAAACAUUAGAAGAUGGAGAGGGAAGAGAGGAUGGGCGUGUGGUUAAGCAACGCCAAGUGGCAGCGACCGUUUUGGCCAUGAAAAAUGACACCAUUGCAUAGCACACUCUGCCUGCACGCCACACGCAUACUCCUCCAAUGAUGAUCUGCGACGUGCUGACUCACCAUUGUCUGGAACAGAUUCGAGAGGAUGCACCAGAGCCAGUCAGCAACUAGGUAGUUAAGCAAGCAACAAGUAUUGGUCCCGCACUCAUGCUGCUUAUGCAUGAUGCUGACAACCAAUAAGUAGCAAUCAGUAGUAGCUUAGGCUCAACACAUACUACUAAUCAGUCAGAAGAAACUAGGAAACAAGGGUAAUUAAUCUUCUUUUUUGUGAUCGUAAUGGUAAUGGAUAGAGGGAGAGGGGAUGUGUGGUGGUGGUCACAUAUGUUUGUCCUAGGAGGACGGUCAUUUCCACGGGACCAAUCAACCGAGAAGAUCUGGCAGAUCCAGCAUCUACAUCAUCACCCGUACAAUAAUGCCCAACACUGUAUAGUGUUCUAUUGGAAUUAGGAUAGAGACCUUUGCGCGAUCGACGCGGUGCAUGGUUAAAGCAUUUCUUCUAAUUUUUUCUGAGUUGAAUAGAACCUAGCUACUCCUGGUUGUGGAUCACUCCACGUGUUAGGACUCCAUCUGGCAUCAAUCGAUCAACGGGCGACAAUGUGUCGGCAGAGCAUUGUUCAUUGAAAUUUGCACUGCAACGAUGCUGGCUCAAUGUUGCAGAAUGUCCGAAAUGAUGCUGACAAGGACUAACCCCAUACUAUGUUCACCACACUUGCCCCAUACUUUGUUUACCACGUUGACGCUGCUGUUUUUUUUUUAACAGGGCGCUGCUGUUGAAUUUAUAUACACAAAGCCAAUGAUGUACUUAGACUUAAACCUACAUGAACUAGUACCCAGCCUAGCCUAAACAAGGUAGGACACGUGACAGCUAAUCUAGCAUAGCAUUGACACGGUCACACACUGGUGUAGCAACGUCCUAUAUACCCUGUUUUNNNNNNNNNNNNNNNNNNNNNNNNNNNNNNNNNNNNNNNNNNNNNNNNNNNNNNNNNNNNNNNNNNNNNNNNNNNNNNNNNNNNNNNNNNNNNNNNNNNNNNNNNNNNNNNNNNNNNNNNNNNNNNNNNNNNNNNNNNNNNNNNNNNNNNNNNNNNNNNNNNNNNNNNNNNNNNNNNNNNNNNNNNNNNNNNNNNNNNNNNNNNNNNNNNNNNNNNNNNNNNNNNNNNNNNNNNNNNNNNNNNNNNNNNNNNNNNNNNNNNNNNNNNNNNNNNACGACCCCGAAAAACGUCGGUGAUAGGAAGUAAGAAUGCACAUGUUUGGCAGAACUAAGCGUAUGCGAUGGCCGCGUCUAUGCCAACCGUGAGUCAAUACCCAAUCGUUUGUGAUAUAUCAAAUUUCCCAAACGAUCCAUCCUUUCUACUUGUGUGGGAUGGCUUUACCAUCGCACACAGUAUUCAAUGGUGCAACGUUUACGAUGCGCCCCGCAUCAUAAACAGUUAAUGAUUGUAAGUCGUAUAUGAUAAAUGAUCUAUAACAAGCAUUUAGUUCUAUAAUACCGCCUGUGAUAGGAUGUAAGAAUACAGUUGUCCCUAUAAAACUCUAUGCGAAGUUCGAAUCUAUCCAACACGUUGCUUAUGGAUUCUGCUGAGAGUGAUGCAGGCCCCGCAAAUGAUUCAGCAAACCGAAAACGAUGGGUUGCUCAUGGUCAUGGCGGCCGAGCCAUCUAGUAGCUUACACUCCUCCAAUUUACUCUUUCCUUGGUUACAUCCUGUCUCUCGCAUACGAAAGCCUCCUUUUCGGCAGCACCGUUUCGGUCAUGACUAAUUAUUAGAAGUCCCUGGACUACUCCUGUCCAUCGGCCAACAAUUAGUGGCCUCUCCUUCUCCCACCACUGCAUUGCACACACGCCACAUGCAUGCUUUGAGUACCAGCACACUCCAAUGACGAUCCAUGGCGUGCUAACUCACCAUUGUUGGGGAGAGAUUCUAGAGGCUGUACCGCAGCCAGUCAGCAGCUCGUUAAGCAAGCAAUAAGUUCUGGAGAGACCGAUCACACCAAUAGCAAUUAGCAGUAGCUUUGGUUCCUCAUAUAUUUAUGGUUGGGCUUAAUCUUGGCUUUGCCAAAAGCCUUUUUGGGUUAUAAGGCAAAUUCAGGAACACAACAAGGACAAUUAAGUGUGGGUGUUCUUAAUGGUGAUGGAUGAAGGGAGAGGGGAUGUGUGGUGCUGGUCACGUCUGUCCUACGAACCAACCAACCAAGAAGCUCUCGCAGACCCGGCAUCUGCAUCACCACACGUGCAAUAAUGCCCAAUAAUGCAGAGUUCUAUUGGAAAUAGGAUAGAGACCUUUGCUUGAUCAAUGCGGUGUAAGUUAAAGCGUUGUCUUCCGAUUCUCUCCGAGUUGAAUAGAACCUAGCUACUCCUGGUUAUGGAUCACUCCACGUGUACUCCAUCUGGCAGGUGCCACAUCAUGUCACUCCAUCAGUCGACCACCAGGCAACAACGCUUUGGCUGAGCAUUAUUCAUUUAACUUUGCACUGUACAGACGCAAGCUCGAUGCUGGAGAGCGUCUGAGAUGAUGCCGACAAGGCCUAACAACAUGCAUUGGAUCGUGAAUGAUGCGGACCACAAAAAACAAUGGCGUGGGACGAAUGCCAGUUACUUGUAACAUGCACUGAAGAUUCAUUCGUUCGAAAGAAAAGAAAACAAAGCACAAACAUGUACCGGUAGGCGAUAGUGGAUAUAAGCAGAGAUGAAGAGAGAUCCGCGCGACCAGAAAAUGCAGGCCGAUGUGUGUCCCCGUCCUAGCUGGCUAUGUACGAUCAAUAGAUGUCCUUUCGCAUCAAGUUAACACUACAAUGGUUCUUGCAAUCCCAAGAUGAUAUGUCAGCUCAGUCUCUCGACGGUGCUCGUAAGAGUAGGGUAUGCGUGUGUGUGUUCAUUGGGAAAAGUGUAUACGCGUAUAUAUAAGCGUCUGCGUCUGUACUGUGUUUUAAAAAACAUCAUAUGGUAAUAAUACUAUUGUAGGGAUGGGAUUUACCCACUCCACCCAAUUGAAGCCGCAAAAAAUUCCCGGAACCCAACUCUUGGCCAUGGCAGGCACCAAUUGUCGCUCCUCCCUGAGGUGCGCCAUUUGGUCACUACAUGCAACCAAGCGCUUUUCCUCCUUACACAUUAUUAGAUGACAUGUCAGCGAGAGUUAUAAGGUCGAGAUUAUGAGCCCGGUGACAAUCAGCACUACUAGCAAUUAUUCGGGAAUGAAUUUGGACAUAGAAAAUAAUCCACUUAGUUGAACCUAUUGCAAAACCGCCACCAAUAAUCCUGAUUACUCUCCUUCCCACUCGGUGAUUGCCGCACCAAACUUACCCCACACCACUACAUCAUUCUUUGGGUUCAAUGCAAUUUUUGUGUGCUCCUUGCUAUUUAGCUUAAACAUGGACUACAUUUUGACAAAUAAAAAAAUUGAGAAUGUAGAUUCCGUGAAGUGAGAAAUAAGGCUUCAUGAAUAAUCAGCGGACCGAAACUGACGAGGUUUUGUCAGAUUCUCUUGCACUGUCAGCAUGGGUAGUCAUGGAGGUCCCACCUACGUUAUGCUCCUAGUACCCUCUCAGAAAGAAUGUCUCUCUUUUUCUUUUCUGCAUCACCAAACCAUACCACACAAGAUGGAUCACGGAUGUGUGGUUAAGCUAGCAAUACAUGGUGGCAGCAGCGGUCACAACCUGAUCGAUCGACAGGAUGGUGCUCUUGCAAUUUCUCCGUCGAUUGAUGACAUCAAACUAGUCAAACACACGUGUAAAAAUACUUUUAGCCAAGGGCACAUAUUGUAACAUCUUUUUCCUUUAUUUUUCUAUUUUCAUGGUUACAAUCUAUAUAUAGCCUCACAUGUGUUAUAUACACAAAGCCAUUGAUGUACUACUAAGACUUAAACCUACACGAACUACUACUCAGCCUGGUCUAAACUAGGUAGGACGCGGACAGAGCUAAUCUAGCAUACCAUCGACACGGUCACACCUCCUAAUUAAUAUACGUGGCAAGCAUACCACUAAUUAGGCACCUACUAGCAUAAUAAUUAGUAUAAGAGCGAACCAACUUGUGGUUGGAUAGUUAGGAGGACAAUGGUAUCCUCAACACAUCAGAGUUCAAGUCGUAGACUUGGCAUUGUUGUUCGCAUUUUCCUAGAUUUAUUUCAGUCCUUUCGAUGAUGUGCGUUCAGUGAGAGGAGACGGUCCGUCGACUACGAAAGCCAUCCAUGCAGGCACCGAGUGCGGGCCGCAUGCACCUCUCACAUGGAGUGCUAGGUUACUCCAGUGACAAUCUGCGAGGUGCUGACUCGCCAUUGUUGGUGGGAGAGAUGGGGUAUGAGUUCUACACGGAUCCAUCUGGAGAACCUACCAUGGCCAAUCAGCAGCUAGCUAGCCAGGCCAAGCAACAAUUUCGGGCUGGAGUACAGUAGGUAGGUAGUGGGGGUGCUACUGGUCCUGUAGCGUGGGUUCACCGACACAUAGUAACAAGAAAACAAACAUGAAUGGGUGGCUGAUGAAAUUACCAAUCCAUCAUGGAUAAGAGGAAUUUUGGAGCUACUACUAGGAGCUGGCCUCUGUGUGGUCACCGAGAAGGAGAUUCAACAUUGAUCACUGCACUUGUACAGUGCAAUAACGAGAUGAUCUCCAAUUUUCUCCGGAUUGAACGGAACCUAGUCCUGCUGGCUCUGGACGUGGAUCGCAACAACAUUCUACGACGCCGUAUAUGACUAUGGUAACAACAAAGCUAGAUUCCUCCCAAAUCAUUCAGCUAACCGAAACCGAUGGCUUCCAGGUAUCCUUCCCUGAGCUGUUAGCAUCUUGACUAGGGUAUAUGUGUGGCUGUAUGUGACGAAUAAUUUUACGGUUCAUGUUGUAUCUUUGAAAGUGAUGCUUAUGACUCGUGUGAGGUAGUACUUACGCACAACCACCACAUAAGGGGCUAGUGUAACAUGUCAAUACCACUUUGUGAACAACCUGCGAAGAACCACCAAAAUUCCGCCUAAUGAGUACUAACACAUAUCACUGAUUGUGGCCUGAGCUCGCGAAAACAAGAAAACUGACUGGGUGGGCCCGCUUGUCGGGUUGGCGUGGCGAUGAGUGGUCAGGCGUCCAUGAUGUGUGAUUUGAAAAAAAAUAUGAGAAAUAAGAAAGGGGGGAAAGAGGUGAGUGUCAGAUAGGUGGGACCCUUGUCCAAAUCUACCGUUCAAAUAUUGACUUGGAUUAGUCUUCGCCACGCCAGCUUGACUGUGGGCCCAACAUGUCGGAUUCGUUGUUUUCGCAAGCUCAAGCGAUGAUCGGUGCGGAAAAAGAAGAUUUUGGACUUUCUGCCAACGAAGAAAUAGUAGCAUUUGAAACUGGAAAUUUUUACUUUGGAUAGUAAAUCCCCAAGGAAGGGCUAUAAUCCAAAAAAGGAGGAGCUAGCUGACAGUUCGAAUUUCAACGAUUAGGGAGGGGAGUGAAACACUUGUCUUCCACGAUCAUUUUUUUUUAUGUUUAGGACACGCGAAGUGAGAGCGAAACUCUCUAUGCGGAGAAGACUCGGCAAGAGAGGUUUGGACAAGAGGAACUGCCUUAAUUUGGCUGGCUGAAGGGGGAAGUGCAUGAAUGAACCCGGAUACAUAUGAAUCCACUUCAGAAAACAUAUUUUUAAAUGCCAAAAAAACUACUCCCUCCAUCUCAUAAUAUAAUAUAUAUAUUGAUUGUAAUAACAUCUUAUAUUUGGCUGGAUGGAUGGUGCUACCACGUCAUCAAUCCAGUUUUAACUGUUACUGACUUUGUGACAUAGCAGGGUGCAACAGGUGGCGAUAAUUACUAGAAAAAUAGAAAACAAUGCAACAACUAGCAAUAAAUGCAUAUAGGAAAAGUGAACGGGGCUACAUGACACGCAAAGAGGGGUGCAUCGUGCAUGUGUGUGUGACUGAGUGUCAUUGUCCUAGCUAUGCUGUCUCUCUUCAUCUAGAGGCAUGGUUUCUUGAAGACUCAUCGACACGAGGCAGUACAAUAAUGCGGGCGAAGGUUGGGACCAUGAAUCUAUCACCAGACUCCAAUUUAGCCUUGCUAAUUCUCAUACCCAUCCAUGGAAUCCAGACUCCUGGCUGUGGCUCUUGCCAUGUGUUGCUCCAUAUGGCCCAUGCCACAUCGGAUGUCCUUUCUCUUUUUGCGGUGGACACUCCAAAAUUAUGUGCUCGACAAUGCGACUUGAAUGAUUACUCAAACAUUCUACGUUGCCAAGGCACAAUGACAUGUGGCAACAGUUGGUACAACUAGCAGCAACCUACGAGGCACGUGAGGAUAUCGGCCAUAGUUAUCUACGAUCCCGAUGAAGCCGACCACGAAAAUGAACGCACAUGCGUGUUGUAACCUCGAAAUUUUUAACUUGACUCACAAGGCGUCUAACACAUGGCAGCAUAUUAUUACAGUCGGUAAUGAUCACAAGUACUACCAUACUAGGUAGCGCACAUCUGUCGACAUUCAAGCUAACCACCACUAGAAUGUUGACCUAAUCAACUCCACUGCUAGGUGGCCACCUUAGUUUAUGACCCCACCCAUGCUCACCACGUGAUGUUGCCCACUUGACUUCCACAUAUCAGCACUAAUAUACGCGUGCAAAAAUAUAUGUGAAAAUUUGUCAUUAGAAGAAGAUAACUCGAUAAAGUUAACAAUAAACUAUGCACACACUUGGCACGCACACACGGGUGUGUGUGGUUGUUACCUUGUUGGCUCUUUGGUUGUGUCUAUUCGUCUUUGUCAAGGACAAUUUCCUCGGACCAAACUUGCAAGCAACCAAUGCAAGUUGCAAUAACGCAUCGUCCAACGUUGCAAUGAUUCUGUUUUGUUUGUCGACAACACGAACAUGACAUGAACCACACAAAACCGCCGAUGUGCCUUUUUUGCUGAUUAAUUGGGUUUCACAAUUUACACAUUUCUGAUAAGUUAACAUGUGCUUCCUUCGUCCAAGUUUAUUAAGGCCCCUCUUAUUUUGGUUCAAAAAUUGACCACAAAUUUAACUAAUGAAAUGUAAACUAUAGGUGACCAAAAGCAUACCUUUAAAAACCUCUUUCGAAUACAAAUAAAAUACUAUACUUUGCAUUUGCAUGUGAAUAACUGUUUGUCUAUCCCCGCCAAAAGACAAGAAAACAGAAACUGUCUAUCAGUCUAACUAAUUGUUAGAGAAUAUUUCACAAUGAUUUUUAUACAAGAAUUCAUUAGCAUUAGGCACUGCAUUAGUUUCACUUUCUAGAAACGGCGAGCACACAAGAAUAGAAUCCAAUGGUUCUAUCGACACCAUUUAACAUGCAAGCAUGAAGGCAAGAACCGGUAUGCAUGGCAGCACCCAUGGCGCCAGGUCAGCAAUGGCGGAGGCGACAGAUCGACACCGCUGGUGGCCAAUAAUCACGGCCGUCAGGUGGGUGGUGUCCAGGGACAGCUAGGAGAAGACCGAGAAUCUUAUCACCGGCGCGCGUGAUUGCCUCACGGUCUCACUGAUUCGCAGCCCACAUGGCAUUGCCAGCUCAAAUCUUCCAGUCCAAUUAAUCUUUCUUUCUCUAUCCAUCCAAUAUACUAAUCCAGAUGCAAUGUUCUCCCUGGGAUUGAGGCCGGCAUCAUUGACACUUGUCCAUGAGUGUAAAACAACGGCAAGACUACUAAAAAAAAUGAAUACAACACCUACUCGCACUCUAGAAUUAGUGAACAUUUUCCUUCAAUAUAAUGUCCGGAAUGUAAGUACGUACGCAUCUACUCCCUCCGUUCCAAAUUACUCGUCGUGGUUUUAGUUCAGAACUAAAACCACGACGGGUAAUUUGGAACGGAGGGAGUAUAUGAGUCUACAUCAUCCAAAUUAGUCGGGAUGAUCAUAUAACACAGAACAAAGCAACAAAGUAACGAGAGAUCUUCCUUUGUGUAAAAACAUGCGUACAAUAUGUUAUCUAUCACUUUUUUCUAAACAAAAUAUUUUUUUUUCCAAUUUCUUUUUACAAUGAGGCCAUGUAGGCUUGGUUGUAGGAAGAGUCCAUCUCGUGGACGACGAGGCUGGUGGUGGUGACCCGGGCGCUUGUGGCAUUGUUGAAGAGGUACACCCCGGCGUUGGCGUAGAUGGCCUCCGUUGGGUACACUCGUGAUGUUGCCGUCAACCUCCCACCCAUCGCAAAGCUCUCAACGAUCGAAUG
rnacentral:lncRNA from 1 species